rnacentral:lncRNA from 1 species
GUCAUGGGCUUCAUGAAGAAUUCCGGUUACUAUCUGAAAGUUUAAUUGUAAGGUUUGGGGCUCAAGAUCUUAUUUAUCCUCAUGGGCAGUACCUGGUACUUCCCCACUGUAAAGUAUGCUAGCUCAGGUCACAAGGAACUUUGAGUGCUAGGAUAGUACCACAUGGUCCAGUUCCCCAAAACUUCUUCCCAGUGUCUCCACAGCUACUCACACAGCCCGAGCAGGUCUCACCACUGGUAGCUCUCUUCCCCUACUUCCUCCAGGCCAGGGGUCGGCCUGAUUCUGCUUAGAGCCUGCAUGCAGCUCCCUCAGAGCCUUGGGGUGGCUGAUCUUUGCUGCUCCCCAGAACCACCUUGCGGAGCCUUCCAUGCAGAGCCCUGUUGAGUCACCAUGCCUUCCUCCACCUGCUGCCACCAGACCACAUGACUUCUUUCUCAAUUCACUCUGAAAGAGAAAAGUACGUUAUGCAAACUAGAUGCGAGCACAAGAGCACAACUCCCUUCCUCCCCAACACAGAGAAACACACUGGGGGCUCCUUGUGUAAUUUAGAGAUUAACUAACACAUCGUGUUGCAAUUGUGCCUAUGUGAAAAAGAAAUGGAAGGAGGAACCAGGUUUGGAGCUAUUCACUGCUGCAAGGGCUCACCCUCAGUCUGACCUGUGCGGUAAGACUGAGAGAAGCACCAAGGGUAUGGCUGGAAAAAAUAACAUUAAAACUAUUUUACUAUAAUGAUGAUAGCUACCAUUGUAGUGACAUGUAAUAAUAUUAGUAACGUUGAAAUCUUUACUAUAUGCCAUACUGUGUGUUAAAUCUCUUAUGUAUAUCGUAUAUAUAAUACAUGUAAAGCCUUGUUGUUGUUGUUUUUGAGACAGAGUCUCACUCUGUCACCCGGGCUGGAGUGCAGUGGCAUGAUUUCAGCUCGCUGCAACCCCUGCCUCCCAGGUUCAAGCAAUUUUCCUGCCUCACCACCACUUUUUUUGUAUUUUAAGACGGGGUUUCACCAUGUUGGUCAGGCUGGUCUUGAACUCCUGAUCACAGGUGAUCCGCCUGCCUCGGCCUCCCGAAGUGCUGGGAUUACAGGCGUGAGCCACUCUGCCCAGCCUUCCCAGCACUAUAUUAGGCCCUGGGGAUACUGAGAAGAGUGAAUGCCCUUUCAGAUGUGGGUUCCAAUCUGGUUUAACCACUAUCUUU